UGGGGAAUUUUGGACAAUGGGCGAAAGCCUGAUCCAGCAAUGCCGCGUGUGUGAAGAAGGCCUUCGGGUUGUAAAGCACUUUUGUCCGGAAAGAAAUCCUUGGCUCUAAUACAGUCGGGGGAUGACGGUACCGGAAGAAUAAGCACCGGCUAACUACGUGCCAGCAGCCGCGGUAAUACGUAGGGUGCAAGCGUUAAUCGGAAUUACUGGGCGUAAAGCGUGCGCAGGCGGUUUGCUAAGACCGAUGUGAAAUCCCCGGGCUCAACCUGGAACUGCAUUGGUGACUGGCAGGCUAGAGUAUGGCAGAGGGGGGUAGAAUUCCACGUGUAGCAGUGAAAAUGCGUAGAGAUGUGGAGGAAUACCGAUGGCGAAGGCAGCCCCCUGGGCCAAUACUGACGCUCAUGCACGAAAGCGUGGGGAGCAAAACAGGAUUAGAUACCCUGGUAGUCCACGCCCUAAAACGAUGUCAACUAGUUGUUGGGGAUUCAUUUCCUUAGUAACGUAGCUAACGCGUGAAGUUGACCGCCUGGGGAGUACGGUCGCAAGAUUAAAACUCAAAUGAAUUGACGGGGUCAUAGCUGUUUCCU
rnacentral:rRNA from 1 species